ACACUUGUAGUUUAAUCGGAUAAAACAUUUGACUACGGAUCAAAAACUAGGGGUUCAAGUCCCUUCAAGUGUG
rnacentral:tRNA from 1 species